UUACGCGAAGAACCUUACCAGGUCUUGACAUCUCCUGACAAUCCUAGAGAUAGGACGUUCCCCUUCGGGGGACAGGAUGACAGGUGGUGCAUGGUUGUCGUCAGCUCGUGUCGUGAGAUGUUGGGUUAAGUCCCGCAACGAGCGCAACCCUUGAUCUUAGUUGCCAGCAUUUAGUUGGGCACUCUAAGGUGACUGCCGGUGACAAANCCGGAGGAAGGUGGGGAUGACGUCAAAUCAUCAUGCCCCUUAUGACCUGGGCUACACACGUGCUACAAUGGAUGGUACAAAGGGCAGCAAAACCGCGAGGUCGAGCCAAUCCCAUAAAACCAUUCUCAGUUCGGAUUGUAGGCUGCAACUCGCCGACAUGAAGCUGAAGCGCGAGAGU
rnacentral:rRNA from 1 species